rnacentral:miRNA from 14 species
GUGUGUACACACUGAUAGUGUAUAUGAUGUGUAUAUAUAUAUAUAUACAUAUACACAUACACAUACACACACACACACACACAGA